rnacentral:rRNA from 1 species
UACAGAGACUGCAAGCGUUAUUCGGAUUCACUGGGCGUAAAGGGUGCGCAGGCGGCCAUAUGUGUGAGGCGUGAAAGCCCGGGGCUCAACCCCGGAAGUGCAUUGGAUACUGGGAGGCUGGAGUACCGGAGAGGAGGGUGGAAUUCCUGGUGUAGCGGUGAAAUGCGUAGAUAUCAGGAGGAACACCGGUGGCGAAGGCGGCCCUCUGGACGGAUACUGACGCUGAGACGCGACAGCGUGGGGAGCAAACAGG